UAACCUGAUGCAUCCACCCUACUGCUGUGUC
rnacentral:piRNA from 1 species